rnacentral:rRNA from 1 species
CAGCAGCCGCGGGAAAACGGAGGGUGCAAGCGUUAAUCGGAAUUACUGGGCGUAAAGCGCACGCAGGCGGUCUGUCAAGUCGGAUGUGAAAUCCCCGGGCUCAACCUGGGAACUGCAUUCGAAACUGGCAGGCUAGAGUCUUGUAGAGGGGGGUAGAAUUCCAGGUGUAGCGGUGAAAUGCGUAGAGAUCUGGAGGAAUACCGGUGGCGAAGGCGGCCCCCUGGACAAAGACUGACGCUCAGGUGCGAAAGCGUGGGGAGCAAACAGGAUUAGAUACCCCGGUAGUCCCUGUCUCUUAUAC